rnacentral:rRNA from 1 species
AUGGAGAUUAGCAGCGAGGAGAGGGUGGAGCUCUCCAUCGUGGUGACCCACCCCGACAAUGGCGACGCCGGCGUGGAGGAGGAUCAUCUAUGGCCGACCAAAGACGGCCCUCUUCCUAUAUUCCUCAAGUUUGAGAAUGUGGAGUACAAGGUGAAGCUGAGUCCCAAAAACCCCCUGACGGCUGCAAAGGUGGCCUUCUCAUCCCACAUGAGGGAGGACAAUGGCCGCAGCAGCUGCAAACAUAUCCUCAAGGGCAUAGGCGGCAGCGUCGACCCCGGCGAGAUUCUGGCGCUGAUGGGCCCGUCCGGCAGCGGCAAGACCACCCUGCUCAAGAUACUGGGAGGCAGGCUGGGAGGCGCCGUCAAGGGUCAGAUCACCUACAACGACACCCCCUACAGCCCCUGCCUCAAGCGGAGGAUGGGAUUUGUGACGCAGGACGACGUGCUGUUCCCUCAGCUGACGGUGGAGGAGACGCUGGUGUUCGCCGCCUUCCUGAGGCUGCCGGCGCGCAUGUCCAAGCAGCAGAAGCGCGACCGGGUGGACGCCAUCAUCGCGGAGCUGAACCUGGAGAGGUGCCGGCACACCAAGAUCGGCGGCGCGUUCGUGCGCGGGGUGUCGGGCGGCGAGAGGAAGCGGACGAGCAUCGGGUACGAGAUCCUGGUGGACCCGUCGCUGCUGCUGCUGGACGAGCCCACGUCGGGGCUGGACUCCACGUCGGCCAGCAAGCUCAUCGUCAUCCUGCAGCGGCUGGCCAAGUCGACGCGGCGGACCAUCAUCACCACCAUCCACCAGCCGUCCAGCCGGAUGUUCCACAUGUUCGACAAGCUGCUGCUCAUCUCCGAGGGCCACGCCAUCUACCACGGCAAGGCCAGGGACUGCAUGCACCACUUCUCCUCGCUGGGGUUCACGCCGGAGAUCCCCAUGAACCCGGCCGAGUUCCUGCUGGACCUGGCCACGGGCAACCUCGAGGACAUCAGCGUCCCGGGGCUGCUCCGGGACGGCUCGCCGGCGCCGCAGGAGUUCAGGUCCCGCGUCGUCGCGUACCUCCAGGCCAAGUACAGGGACCACGCCGGCGGCGCCGAGGAGGACCAGGCGAAGCAGCUGGCGAGGAGGCCCGGGGAGCAGCUGAGGCUGGCCAUCCGGAUGCGCAAGGACCGGAGCAUCAACUGGUUCCAGCAGUUCGUGGUGCUGUCGCGUCGCACGUUCCGGGAGCGCGCCGCCGACUACCUGGACAAGAUGCGGCUGGCGCAGGCCGUGGGCGUGGCGCUCCUGCUCGGCCUCCUGUGGUGGAAGUCGCAGACGGGCAACGAGGCGCAGCUGAGGGACCAGGUCGGGCUCAUCUUCUACAUCUGCAUCUUCUGGACCUCGUCGUCGCUCUUCGGCUCCGUCUACGUCUUCCCCUUCGAGAAGCUGUACCUGGUCAAGGAGCGCAAGGCCGACAUGUACCGCCUCAGCGCCUACUACGCCAGCAGCACCCUCUGCGACGCCGUGCCGCACGUCGUCUACCCGGUCCUCUUCAUGGCCAUCCUCUACUUCAUGGCCGACCUCCGCCGCACCGUCCCCUGCUUCUGCCUCACCCUCCUCGCCACCCUCCUCAUCGUCUUCACCAGCCAGGUGCGUAACCUCUUCUUCUUCUUCUUCUUGUGCAUGCCGACGGUGACAUCGACGGCGAACGGCGAUGAUAGCUCGAUCUGUGAUCAUCAGGGGACGGGGGAGCUGCUGGGGGCGGCGAUCCUGAGCGUGAAGAGGGCGGGGGUGAUGGCGUCGCUGGUGCUGAUGCUGUUCCUGCUCACUGGAGGGUACUACGUGCAGCACAUACCCAAGUUCAUACGGUGGCUGAGGUACGUCUCCUUCAUGCACUACGGCUUCAACCUGCUGCUCAAGGCGCAGUACCACGGCCACCUCACCUACAACUGCGGGAGCCGGACCGGGUGCCAGCGGCUGCAGUCGUCGCCGUCGUUCGACACCGUCGACCUCGAUGGCGGCAUGCGCGAGGUCUGGAUCCUGCUCGCCAUGGCCGUCGCGUACCGCCUCCUCGCCUACUUCUGCCUCCUCAAGAGGAUAACCCUCACGCCCUUGUGA